AUUGAACGCUGGCGGCAUGCCUUACACAUGCAAGUCGAACGGUAACGCGGGGCAACCUGGCGACGAGUGGCGAACGGGUGAGUAAUGUAUCGGAACGUGCCCAGUUGUGGGGGAUAACUGCUCGAAAGAGCAGCUAAUACCGCAUACGACCUGAGGGUGAAAGCGGGGGAUCGCAAGACCUCGCGCAAUUGGAGCGGCCGAUAUCAGAUUAGGUAGUUGGUGGGGUAAAGGCUCACCAAGCCAACGAUCUGUAGCUGGUCUGAGAGGACGACCAGCCACACUGGGACUGAGACACGGCCCAGACUCCUACGGGAGGCAGCAGUGGGGAAUUUUGGACAAUGGGCGAAAGCCUGAUCCAGCAAUGCCGCGUGCAGGAUGAAGGCCUUCGGGUUGUAAACUGCUUUUGUACGGAACGAAAAAGCUCCUUCUAAUACAGGGGGCCCAUGACGGUACCGUAAGAAUAAGCACCGGCUAACUACGUGCCAGCCGCCGCGGUAAUAC
rnacentral:rRNA from 1 species